UGCCAGCAGCCGCGGUAGUACGGAGGGUGCAAGCGUUAUCCGGAUUUAUUGGGUUUAAAGGGUGCGUAGGCGGGAUAGUAAGUCAGUGGUGAAAGCCCACAGCUCAACUGUGGAACUGCCAUUGAUACUGCUAUUCUUGAAUAUAGUUGAGGUGAGCGGAAUGUGUGGUGUAGCGGUGAAAUGCAUAGAUAUCACACAGAACACCGAUUGCGAAGGCAGCUCACUAAGCUAUCAUUGGCGCUGAGGCACGAAAGCGUGGGGAGCGAACAGGAUUAGAUA
rnacentral:rRNA from 1 species